rnacentral:rRNA from 1 species
AACGAACGCUGGCGGCGUGCCUAACACAUGCAAGUCGAGGGAGAAAGGGGCUUCGGCUCCUGAGUAAACCGGCGCACGGGUGAGUAACACGUAGGUAACGUACCCUUGAGUCUGGGAUAACCAGUCGAAAGACUGGCUAAUACCAGAUACGACUGCGGGAGCUCAGACUUCUGCAGUGAAAGAUGGCCUCUACUUGUAAGCUAUCACUCAUGGAUCGGCCUGCGCACCAUUAGCUAGUUGGUGAGGUAAAGCUCACCAAGGCUGAGAUGGUUAGCUGGUCUGAGAGGAUGGCCAGCCACACUGGGACUGAGACACGGCCCAGACUCCUACGGGAGCAGCAGUGGGAAUAUUGCGCAAUGGGCGAAAGCCUGACGCAGCGACGCCGCGUGGGUGAUGAAGGCC